CCUACGGGUGGCAGCAGUAGGGAAUAUUGCUCAAUGGGGGAAACCCUGAAGCAGCAACGCCGCGUGGAGGAUGAAGGUUUUCGGAUUGUAAACUCUUUUUGUUAGAGAAGAUAAUGACGGUAUCUAACGAAUAAGCACCGGCUAACUCCGUGCCAGCAGCCGCGGUAAUACGGAGGGUGCAAGCGUUACUCGGAAUCACUGGGCGUAAAGAGCGCGUAGGCGGGAUGGCAAGUCAGAUGUGAAAUCCUAUGGCUUAACCAUAGUACUGCAUUUGAAACUGUUAUUCUAGAGUAUGGGAGAGGUAGGUGGAAUUCUUGGUGUAGGGGUAAAAUGCGUAGAGAUCAAGAGGAAUACUCAUUGCGAAGGCGACCUGCUAGAACAUAACUGACGCUGAUGCGCGAAAGCGUGGGGAGCAAACAGGAUUAGAUACCCCUGUAGUC
rnacentral:rRNA from 1 species